rnacentral:misc_RNA from 1 species
UUUCCGUAGGUGAACCUGCGGAAGGAUCAUUAGCGAGUUAGGGUCUUCCAGGCCCGACCUCCCAACCCUAUGUUUAUUGAACCUCUGUUGCUUCGGCGGACCCGCCUCACGGCCGCCGGAGGACCGCUGCAAGGCGUCCUCUGGCCAGCGUCCGCCGAUGGCCAACCACUUAAACUCUGAAUGAAUCGUGUCAUAUGUCUAAGUCUAUGAUUAAAUUAAAGCAAAACUUUCAACAACGGAUCUCUUGGUUCUG